CACGUGUCUUCAUUUUUCAUGUGAUGGCGGAUUGUGAUGGCGGAUUGUCAAAAAUUUGCCUAUUUUUCCACGAAAACUACCAAUAAUUCAUAGGAAGGAAUGCGAAAGAAAACAGUGGCCUGCAAGAAGUCCACCAUCAACUCUUUCAUAAAAAAUCGUCAUUCUGCUGAAUGCAUCAAUUAAUACAGUAACCCAGCGGCCAGCGUGGAGUUACAUUGUUUUUUCCAAACAUGUUUUUCAACAAAUAAAGCAUUGACAGACAAGAAAAGCUAUGGAAAAUGUAAUGUAGGACAUGAGUAAUCUUCAGGUUUAUUGCAGCUACUUAGAAGAAGUCACGUGAAAAGAUGCAGGGCAGGGCACUUACCAACAUGUGUUCAAAACUGCUGCUGCUGCCUACAGCCACGGGCAGGAAAAUUGCUCUCUUUCUUCUGACAACUGAAAGGCUGCUGCAGUCAUCUAUCUAGUCUGCAUCAUCCCUCGACUCAUUUCGUCUUCUGGAUAGCUUAGUAAAGCUGACUGGUGUUAUCAAUCCAUUUAGAUAACGACCUAUAGAGGAUGCGGCCUACAGACUGUGAACAUCAGAUGGGAUCAGACGUCAGCAUCUCUACGAAAUGGCGGUGACGUGACUCCACGGGUGACAUCAAACAUGUUCUACGUGGAUCAUCAUUUAUUUUUGGUAUUAUGUUUUUGUUUGUUGACCCGUUGGCUGCCACGCCUUUGU